rnacentral:rRNA from 1 species
AGAGAUGUGUGAUGACGCAUAUCAAUAAGCGGAGGAAAAGAAACUAACAAGGAUUCCCUUAGUAACGGCGAGUGAAGCGGGAAGAGCUCAAAUUUGAAAUCUUCAAGGUUCUACCUUGACGAAUUGUAGUUUAUAGAAGUGUUUUCUGUUAGUGGAGUGGCAAAAGUUCUUUGGAAUAGGACAUCAUAGAGGGUGAGAAUCCCGUAUUUGGUCAUUCCUCCUAGCGUUGUGAUACACUUUCAACGAGUCGGAUUGUUUGGGAAUGCAGUCCAAAAUGGGUGGUAAAUUUCAUCUAAAGCUAUAUAUUGGCGAGAGACCGAUAGCGAACAAGUACCGUGAGGGAAAGAUGAAAAGAACUUUGAAAAGAGAGUUAAACAGUACGUGAAAUUGUCAAAAGGGAAGCGUUUGACACCAGUGUUGUUUUUCCGAAAAUCAAUUACGAAUGUUUUAUUUUUGAGGAGUUAUGACUUCAUCGGCUUGCUCCUUUCUUUAUGAAACUUUCUUAAUGCACUUUUCGGUUAACAAGUCAACAUCAAUUUCUUUUGUUGUAAAAGGGUAUGAGGAAGGUGGCUUUCUUUUCGGAGAAAGUGUUUAUAGCCUUGUGCCUCUGCAAUCGGAGAGAUUGAGGUCUGCAGCGUAGAUCCUUCGGGGUUAGAUACGUUUGUGCUAAGUUAUAGCUUUUCAUAGACAACUUGUUGACUUAUGUUUAGUCUUGUAGCUUACUCGCUGACGCUAUUUUACCUACGCUUAGGAUGUUGAGUAGCGACAUACGCAC